rnacentral:rRNA from 1 species
AUUGAACGCUGGCGGCAGGCCUAACACGUGCAAGUCGAGCGGAUGAAGGGAGCUUGCUCCUGGAUUCAGCGGCGGACGGGUGAGUAAUGCCUAGGAAUCUGCCUGGUAGUGGGGGAUAACGUCCGGAAACGGGCGCUAAUACCGCAUACGUCCUGAGGGAGAAAGUGGGGAUCUUCGGACCUCACGCUAUCAGAUGAGCCUAGGUCGGAUUAGCUAGUUGGUGGGGUAAAGGCCUACCAAGGCGACGAUCCGUAACUGGUCUGAGAGGAUGAUCAGUCACACUGGAACUGAGACACGGUCCAGACUCCUACGGGAGGCAGCAGUGGGGAAUAUUGGACAAUGGGCGAAAGCCUGAUCCAGCCAUGCCGCGUGUGUGAAGAAGGUCUUCGGAUUGUAAAGCACUUUAAGUUGGGAGGAAGGGCAGUAAGUUAAUACCUUGCUGUUUUGACGUUACCAACAGAAUAAGCACCGGCUAACUUCGUG